GGAAGGAUCAUUAUCAUAUAAUAAAAUUUGUUGUUUUCAUUUUUCCUUUCGGGGGAUUAUGCUUAACUUCAAACCACACAAACCACCACCACCACCACUUGUUUGGAGUUGAGUUUUAAUCGGCUCUUCUUCAUUCAUUUGGUUGGUUGGCACACCUCGUGAAUUUCAUGAAGUCCAUAACCAUUUUUUAAACACCAUUGUAACGUUUUUAGUCUGAUAUCUUUUUUCUGACUUCUUCUUCCCUCUGCUACUCACUCUCUCGAGAGUAGUGGUAGAUGAUCGACGACGAAAGAAAAAAACAAAAUAAUCAAAUACAAUCUUCAACGAUGGAUAUCUCGGCUCGUGUAACGAUGAAGAGCGCAGCAAAGUGCGAUAACUAGUGUGAAUUGCAGAAUUCUGUGAAUCAUCGAACUCUUGAACGCAUCCUGCGCCUGAGGGCUAUCCUUCAGGCACACCUGUUUGAGUGUUGACUAUUCUCUCUUCUUUUAAUUAAAACCUUUUUCGAAAGGUUCUCUUUGAAAGAGAAUUGAUAGUGAAGAAACGUUGAAAUAUAUUGAUUCUUCUCUAUUUAAAAGUAUGGGCUUGGUCACUCAUUUCAUUAGUUUGUGGCUAACAAUCUAGGUUCAGGGGUCUUUUGACUCAAGUCCUAGGUUCACAUUCUAAUUUUGAAAUACUAAGAGUGAUUGCAGCAUCAAGGAAUACUUAUUUUUUUUUUGUUGGGUAAUACCAAAAAAAAAAAAAAAAAAACCCAUUCAACCUCAAAUCAGGUGGGACUACCCCCUGAAUUUAAGCAUAUAAUUAAGGGGAGGAAAAGAAAGUAACCACGAUUCCCUCAGUAAAGGCGAUUGAACAGGGAAGAGCUCAAUCCGAAUCUGUCUGGUUUCCAGACUGAAUUGUAGUUUUGUGAGUGCCUAUAUGGGAAGAACUUGGUUUAAGUUACCUGGAACGGUACGCCAUAGAGGGUGACAGCCCCGUAUACAACCGAGGAAACUUCUCUACCCGUAGGUACUUCAUAGAGUCGGACUAUUUGAUAGUAUAGUCCUAAGUGUGAGGUAAGUUCCUCAUAAAGCUAAAUACGGACGCGAGACCGAUAGCGAACAAGUACCGUGAGGGAAAGAUGCAAAGAACUUUGAAAAGAGAGUUAAAAGUACUUGAAAUCGUUGGAGAGGAAGCGGUUGGAAGCAGUGAUUGAUCGGGGUUGAUUCGCGGUUGAAUGGGCAGAUAGACGUGGCUGAAGAGUCUCCUCUUGGGGGCCUUUUGUUGCGGAUAUCUGUUUAGGCAGCCGUUACUUUGGCUUCGACGGAUCAGCAUCUGUGGGCCUCGGAAUGGAAUGGGUUGGAGGAGGUAGCCCGGGGAUUCUCUGGGUGUUUAACUCUGAUCAGAUAUUCUGAGGAUCCUACAGAGGAUACAAAGUGGAGCUUGCGGGGUAUCCAGAUUCCUGGUGUGUUCCAGUGUGGGGGACUGCAUGCAGUGCUUUAUGCUGGGAUGUGCUAUCGGGUUUGGUCCACUCUCCACUUCAUGAUGCUGGUGAAAUGUUUCCUACCGACCCGUCUUGAAACACGGACCAAGGAGUCUAACAUAUGUGCGAGUCGCUGAGUGGCAAACUUGGGGGCGUAAUGAAAGUGAAUCACGGUGCCAUCCUUGACUUCCGAGUCUUGGUGCAGCAUCGACCGAUCCAAUUCCCCUUCGUGGGAAUAGAUUUGAGUAGGAGCAUGUCUGUUGGGACCCGAAAGAUGGUGAACUAUGCCUGCAUAGGGUGAGGCCAGAAGAAAUUCUGGUGGAGGCUCGUAGCGAUACUGACGUGCAAAUCGUUCGUCAAAUGUGGGUAUAGCGGCGAAAGACUAAUCGAACCGUCUAGUAGCUGGUUUCCUC
rnacentral:misc_RNA from 1 species